UACGAACUGUGCGAACGUUAUUCGGAAUCACUGGGCUUACAGGGUGCGUAGGCGGCCUGUUAAGUAGGGUGUGAAAGCCCCCGGCUCAACCGGGGAAUGGCGCCCUAAACUGGCGGGCUGGAGUGAGAUAGGGGUGUGCGGAACUUCCGGUGGAGCGGUGAAAUGUGUUGAUAUCGGAAGGAACGCCGGUGGCGAAAGCGGCACACUGGAUCUCAACUGACGCUGAGGCACGAAAGCCAGGGGAGCGAAC
rnacentral:rRNA from 1 species